rnacentral:rRNA from 1 species
AGAUUAAGUUAUUAAGGGCGCACGGUGGAUGCCUUGGCACUAGAAGCCGAUGAAGGACGUUACUAACGACGAUAUGCUUUGGGGAGCUGUAAGUAAGCUUUGAUCCAGAGAUUUCCGAAUGGGGAAACCCAGCACGAGUUAUGUCGUGUUAUCUGCAUGUGAAUACAUAGCAUGCAAGAAGGCAGACCCGGAGAACUGAAACAUCUUAGUACCCGGAGGAAGAGAAAGAAAAAUCGAUUCCCUGAGUAGCGGCGAGCGAAACGGGAAGAGCCCAAACCAAUAAGCUUGCUUAUUGGGGUUGUAGGACACUCUGUACGGAGUUACAAAAGAAUUUGUUAGACGAAUAACCUGGAAAGGUUAAUCAUAGAAGGUAAUAAUCCUGUAGUCGAAAACGAAUUCUCUCUUGAGUGGAUCCUGAGUACGACGGAGCACGUGAAAUUCCGUCGGAAUCUGGGAGGACCAUCUCCUAAGGCUAAAUACUCUCUAGUGACCGAUAGUGAACCAGUACCGUGAGGGAAAGGUGAAAAGUACCCCGGAAGGGGAGUGAAAGAGAACUUGAAACCGUGUGCUUACAAGUAGUCAGAGCCCGUUAAUGGGUGAUGGCGUGCCUUUUGUAGAAUGAACCGGCGAGUUACGAUCUGAUGCAAGGUUAAGCAGAAAAUGUGGAGCCGUAGCGAAAGCGAGUCUGAAUAGGGCGAAUGAGUAUUUGGUCGUAGACCCGAAACCAGGUGAUCUACCCUUGGUCAGGUUGAAGUUCAGGUAACACUGAAUGGAGGACCGAACCGACUUACGUUGAAAAGUGAGCGGAUGAACUGAGGGUAGCGGAGAAAUUCCAAUCGAACUUGGAGAUAGCUGGUUCUCUCCGAAAUAGCUUUAGGGCUAGCCUCAAGUGAUGAUUAUUGGAGGUAGAGCACUGUUUGGACGAGGGGCCCCUCUCGGGUUACCGAAUUCAGACAAACUCCGAAUGCCAAAUAAUUUAACUUGGGAGUCAGAAUGUGGGUGAUAAGGUCCAUAUUCGAAAGGGAAACAGCCCAGACCACCAGCUAAGGUCCCAAAAUAUAUGUUAAGUGAUGUGGCGUUGCCCAACAACUAGGAUGUUGGCUUAGAAGCAGCCAUCAUUUAAAGAGUGCGUAAAUCAUUAGUCGAGUGACACUGCCGAAAAUGCCCGGUGCUGGAAGGUUAAGAGAGUGGUUAGCGCAAGCGUGAAGCUACGAAUCGAAGCCCAGUAAACGGCGGCCGUAACUAUAACGGUCCUAAGGUAGCGAAAUUGUCGGGUAAGUUCCGACCCGCACGAAAGGCGUAACGAUUUGGGCACUGUCUCAACGAGAGACUCGGUGAAAUCAUAGUACCGGUGAAGAUGCCGGUUACCCGCGACAGGACGGAAAGACCCCGUGGAGCUUUACUGUAGCCUGAUAUUGAAAUUCGGUACAGUUUGUACAGGAUAGGUAGGAGCCUUAGAAGCGUGAGCGCUAGCUUACGUGGAGGCAUUGGUGGGAUACUACCCUAAUUGUAUUGGAUUUCUAACCCGCAGCACUUAUCGUGCUGGGAGACAGUGUCAGGCGGGCAGUUUGACUGGGGCGGUCGCCUCCUAAAGAGUAACGGAGGCGCUCAAAGGUUCCCUCAGAAUGGUUGGAAAUCAUUCAUAGAGUGUAAAGGCAUAAGGGAGCUUGACUGCGAGACCUACAAGUCGAGCAGGGUCGAAAGACGGACUUAGUGAUCCGGUGGUUCCGCAUGGAAGGGCCAUCGCUCAACGGAUAAAAGCUACCCCGGGGAUAACAGGCUUAUCUCCCCCAAGAGUUCACAUCGACGGGGAGGUUUGGCACCUCGAUGUCGGCUCAUCGCAUCCUGGGGCUGUAGUCGGUCCCAAGGGUUGGGCUGUUCGCCCAUUAAAGCGGUACGCGAGCUGGGUUCAGAACGUCGUGAGACAGUUCGGUCCCUAUCCGUCGUGGGCGUAGGAAAUUUGAGAGGAGCUGUCCUUAGUACGAGAGGACCGGGAUGGACAUACCUCUGGUGUACCAGUUGUCGUGCCAACGGCAUAGCUGGGUAGCUAUGUAUGGACGGGAUAAGUGCUGAAAGCAUCUAAGCAUGAAGCCCCCCUCGAGAUGAGAUUUCCCAACUUCGGUUAUAAGAUCCCUCAAAGAUGAUGAGGUGAAUAGGUUCGAGGUGGAAGCGUAGCGAUACGUGGAGCUGACGAAUACUAAUCGAUCGAAGACUUAAUCAAUAU